rnacentral:tRNA from 1 species
GCCUGGGUGGCUCAGUCAGUUGAGCCUCUGACUUCGGCUCAGGUCAUGAUCUCGCGGUCCGUGAGUUCGAGCCCCGCAUCGGGCU